rnacentral:rRNA from 1 species
UACGUAGGGUGCAAGCGUUGUCCGGAAUUAUUGGGCGUAAAGAGCUCGUAGGCGGUCUGUCGCGUCUGCUGUGAAAACUCAGGGCUUAACCCUGAGCUUGCAGUGGGUACGGGCAGACUAGAGUGCGGUAGGGGAGACUGGAAUUCCUGGUGUAGCGGUGAAAUGCGCAGAUAUCAGGAAGAACACCCGUGGCUAAGGCGGUUCUCUAGUACGGUACUGACGCUGAGACGCGAAAGCGUGGGGAGCGAACAGG